UGCCCAGCAACUCCUAUCCCUACCUCCUCGCGGUACUGGCCGGGGUACGAGUAACCUUGGGGAAGAUCGGGUAACCAACCCCAGGUGGGAACUUUGGUCGUAUGCUGACAGGGAAGG
rnacentral:ribozyme from 1 species